AAUAAUGAAUGACACUAAUUUAUAAAAGUUAUAUAUUUAUUAUUCAAAACUAGGAACGGUUUUGCACACGCGUAGAAUAAUUAUUAUUAUCGAUACACCCCAUAGAGUUAAUCACCGUCGAUUGAUUAAUAAACCAUAAACAAAGCGAGCCAAACUAUAAUAGCCACACCCAGCACACAUUUAUAAUAUUUUGCGUAAUAAAAUAGCUAUUAUUAACGAUUAUAAUGAAGGCAAAUGUAUGUUAAUAGCACAUUUUAGCAUAGCACCUGUUUAAUUUCUAAAUGAAUAUUUACAAAUUAAUUUAAAUUAUACCUAUGAUUUAUUUACGUGGCAAUACUCAUUUGACAGUGAUGUUUUUUUUUUGUUUCUAGCCAGUUGUAAAACACGGGGCCAUGGAAUUUAAAAGGUCGGUAUCUAUAAGCUUCGUCAUUGUUUUUUUUAACAAUUCAAGCCUUUUAGCACCACUUCUCGAUAUUAUGAAGUGUUAUUAAAGACAAUUAAAAACACACACUUUGAAAAAAAAGUGUACUAAACGGUGAAAGCAUUAUAAAAUCUGUCCCUAUUUAGACUGCUUAUAAAAAAGAUAUUUAUCAAAAAUAAUUACAAUCUGUGUCGUAUGCUAAACUGUUAGCCAUGUUUACAGUAAAAAAAAGCUUGCAAUUAAAAAUCAUUCUACUUAACCGACGGCGGUAAUUACAAUUUUACUGAACAGUUACUAAACGCACAAAGUUUCGAACAAAUUGUUAACGUACAGUAUUAUUUACAGAUUAAAGUUAAACCGAAUUUAUAAAUCCUCAUUAUAGUCGAGAAUAAGCAUUUAUUUGAAACUAUGAUAUCAGAUUUAUAAUUUAAUUAUUAUAUUAUCCAACCUGCAAUGAUGCUUGCACAUCAAAGCAUGAUACAAAAACUGAUUUAUGUGUUUAUCAUAAACAAAAAAUGUAGAGCAAACGUAGCCUUAUUAAUAAGUACUGUAUUAUUUAUAAAGAGGCUGAACAGUGAACGCCUUUGUCUAGAAAAAAAAAACGCCCUUGUUCGCGCCUUUUUCAAGUGUCACUUUCCUUCGCAUUUCGACUUCAACGCUAUCGAAUAUCAAAAGGCGGGAUUUUUUACAGUUAAUGCAUUGUCACUAUCUUUUUAAUUCAAUGCUUUAGUCAUUUCGGCUUUUUCUUGAAUCUCUUUUACUUUUUAGUAGUGGUAGUCAUCGUUAAAAGUCGUUAAUUUUGUCUAACAAAAGACUUCAAACGGUUUAAUAGUCGGCCAUACUCGACAUUCCAUAUGGCGUUGAUAUAGUUGUCACAUUUUUAGUUUUAUGUUCCGGGCGAAUUGGCGUUUGAAAUAUGCGGCCGAGUUUUUAAAUGUUCUUGUUUUAUACAUAGUUCAGAUAAUUCAAAUUCCUACCUAGUAAGCCAGUUUUCGCUGUAAUGGAUGGCUUUUCCAACAUAGUUGUUGCUAUCUAAUAGACACCUGCUAAGUAAAAAUCUUCUCGGUGCGAACUAAUUUUCUGUUGACUUUUUCAUCUAUUCUAAUGCCAUUGUAUACUAGGAAACGCAAGUUUUCGAUGAUUGAAUAUAUUGGUUUCAAAGCCGUUUGGACUUGAUCGUAAUUAAAGCCUAAAGUUGUAGGGUCUUGAAAAACAACAAGGUCUUGUAUAAAAACGGUCUAAAACACUAAAAGUAUCCAAAUUUUAUCUCAAUCGACAGCGUACUUAAUAAUUGAAACAUUAACUACAAAAACUUGCCUAAAACCACUCGCCGUAACACUAUAAACAAUUGGCUAUCGCGGCACGUGUUAUGUUUAUUCCUUUAACACUCCUACGGAUCCCUUGUGGCGAAACAAUAAAGUCUUAGUGCCCUUUAACAAGGUCAAACGACGUACUUCGGUAAAAAGGGACUCUUUGUUUGAGAGUUCCGUACGCCGAGCCAUUUUGUGUGACGUAUUUGUGAAGUUUGUAGUUUGAAUUUGUCGAGUUGAUCGGUGAAGGGUCAUGCAUUAUAAUGAUAUUAUUGUUAUUGUUAAUUUAUUGAUUUAUAAUAGUGGUUGAGUGAGAAGUGUAUAAGGUAAUAGUAGUGAUUUUGUUUCUCGUUUUUAUUCCGUCUUUUGUAGUUAAAAGAGUUCGUGGACACUAAAAUUGCUUUCACAAUGUAGAGAUGUGUUUUUUUUUCUUAACUUGUUUUUUAGUUUUGUACAAAAGGGCAUUUAUCCAUACAGCUUAUCACUAUCAUCGUUUCGAAGUGUUAAGAAUUAAGAACCACUAAUGAAAGAAUAACAAUGUUAAACAAUUAAAAGGAUCCCAAAUUCGGUAGGCCUUUCCAACCAUUUGGUGGCCACGUGUCAGCUUCGCGUUAAAAUCUAUUAAUCGCAUGUUUUUUGUCAACUGCCAAAUUUCAGUUGAUAAAAAACUAACAGAUGGCUUGCGACGAAUGAGUAAUGUAAGGGUUAAAAAUAAAUAUUAAUUUAUUAGACUGGCAAAUCUGGUUUUACUAAGAUUAAGUAUCGUUAUUCAUUUAUCUGAUAUUUCGAAUACAUUUAAAAAUAAUUCCUUUUGAUGUGUAAUAGGUGACCAACCUUAAUAUGUUGAACUUUUUGGAAUAUUUUCGUGACUUUUCUUUUUAAUUGGCUGUUGAUUGAUUGGAUUGCGAAAAUUGUAAUGAGAAUGAUUUUUUUUCUAUUACUUUUUAAUCUUCAAAUAAAACAAUAACAAUCUUUUUUUGUAUUUAUAUGAUGAAUUGGAAAAAUGUUUGAUUAACAAACGUAGCCGUCUAUUCUCUCCAUUUUAUUUUCAACUUUAUUUUAUUUAGGUACUUAAACCUCAUUUUGUAAAGUUUUUGGUGGGUAUGUGAAUAUCUGUCACUUGUUUACGCCAUAUACUCCUACCUUGUCACAAAGACAUCAUAAUUUUAAUUCGUCUUAAAACUGAUUGUACUAAAUUUUAGUUUGGUUUUAGUAGAUAAAGAUAUUGUUUAUCAACGAAAAUUAUAAGUACGAAUACAAGUUUCUGACUAUUUCAUUAUUGCCAAGACAGUAGCGAAGUAAAUUACACAAUCUUUUGUAGACUACUGCCGCCAUCAAUAAAAUUACUGCCUAUAAAUAAAAGCCAUUACUUCUAAUACCUAUUAGAGGCCAUUAGGCUUACCAAAUAAUUAGACAAGCUCGCGAUAAACUAAAUUAAUGGGCCUUAGAUACAACUAUUUAUUGGUCUAGGUAUAAGAAGAUAGCUUAGAUAGGUAGGUAGGUAUUAGUAGUUAGACUAUUAGGCCUAGACAAUGUAACAUCGUAUUAGCUAACUCUAGGUUUAAUACGUGGAAGAAGGAUAGCGCUCUACACUUCGUAGAACGGCAUCUCUCUUCCACAAUAUCAAUAAUUUGAAUUUAAGACGUGUAGGAAGGCGGAAUAGUAAAAUUUGAAAUUAAUUUAGAGUUACAUAGGUACAUCAAAGUAUGAAUAUACCUAUUAGAUUAGAUAGGAUCCUAUCGAUCGUGAAAUUAGCUACAUUUACCAAAUAUGUUAAAAAAUUAAAAUAAAACGAAGUCUUGAGUGCAUAGUAAUACCUUCUAAUUAAAUAGGUAUAGAUUUCUAGUUAGGCAUAAGUCCACAAUUUGUUUCUUUGCCCGGCAUUUGUGCCUUCAUGUUUGUAGAAAUAGAACGGAGUGCCAUUCAUAUUUUAACGUACGUACGAGAGGAUAUAAAUAAAAAAAUACAACAAAACAUCAACAGACUCGGCAAAGACAUACGAUACCUCAGAUCCUGCUUGUCACAUGUAAAAAAUAUACCGUAUAACGGAACGGAAUCGCGUCAAAAAAUUGAUUUAUACCUCUCAAAACAUAUUUUAGUUUUAACCAUUCAUUAUUUUGGCUUCGAAAAAUGUUCGACAACAUUUAAAAAGUCAUGGAAUGUCAUGUUAACUACUAAUUAACCUAACUAAUACUGCCUAAAUUGGAAUGUGACCGAGGAAUGCCAAACAUUUUUUUGUUUUUUUUUUGUUCGCUCUCUGGCAAAGGUAUUUGUGAAAAGUUGUAUUUCGUGUUCUUAUAAUGAUAUAUGGCGGUGUGAAAAUGUGUCAAAUAUUAAGAAUAAAUAAAUACAUUCGUUUUAGAAGAUAUAUUAGUUUUUUGUAGUUAUUUAUUGUUGUUUUAAUUCAACGAAACAGGAUUACACUCGACACUUGGAUUAUGAUGAACAUUUAAAAUGGAACGACAAAGCAAUUAUUGUAACAAAUCGUUUAUAAGAUCAGAAAAAAAUUAAGUACAUAGUUUUAAUAAUUAAAACAUAAAUGUGAUCAUUAUUUAAGACUCUAGUUAGUAGUUAAACUUUCAAACAAUAUUAUCAAACCAAUGUAACUCAACUUGAAUAAACAUCUAUUGGAAAACUCAAUCCCAACCAAAACUCACACACACACCACCAAAAAAUACAAAAAAAGACCUGUCGACAAAUACACAUCAUCAAAAUCAAAUAGAAAUUCUAAAUUUGCAAAAAAGGUGCUCCCAAAAUCUAUUGUUAAACAGAAAUAGCGUAAUACGAAACGUUAUUGUCCUGUAGCCUACUUCCUUUGAUGCUGCGUGAUAAAACCGAGAGAGGGCGUUGUAGGGCCAAGUAUUAUUAAGUAGCUCUUUUUCACGGCAAUUGUGUCGUCACAAUGUGAAGAUUAUAAGGGAUUAAGGGCCCUUGCUAUUGUGAUUUGAAGGGCCAUCGACGGGUGUUAGCCCUGUGUUGGUGUAAACUUUAAUUUGGGUACGUUUGAGAGGGGAAUGUUUAGAUUUAUCCGAUAGAUAUUGCUUGGAUUGUAAACCGGGGGACUACUCGUGGACCCUCAGAGAGAGGAAGCAAGUAGUGUCAGACUCUUACUGAACAAAACUAAACCGAAGUACUACCUCAACAGCUUUUUGGUCGGAUCAUGUCAGUAUUGCAUGCUGCAUGGUUAACUGUUACACUCAAACAGGAGUGACAGAUCGUCAGCAGUACUGAGAAUUUUGGCUGAAGUGUGCAAAAAUUGGCAACAGAAACAUAAUACACGAUUUUAAAUCCUAUUAUAAAACUACUACAGAUAACUAUAGAAGAAGCUAGGACCUACAGCUACCAUUAAAAAAAAAGAACCAAAGAGGACUAAUAGGUAAACAUAUAUACAAAA